CGGCCGCGAUUCGCCCUUUUCCGGUUGAUCCUGCCGGACCUGACUGUUAUCGGAUUGAUACUAAGCCAUGCGAGUCAUUGUAGCAAUACAAGGCAGACGGCUCAGUAACGCGUAGUCAAUCUACCCUAUGGACGGGGAUAACCUCGGGAAACUGAGAAUAAUACCCGACAGAACAUUAUGCCUGGAAUGGUUUAUGUUUUAAAUGAUUUAUCGCCGUAGGAUGGGACUGCGGCCUAUCAGUUUGUUGGUGAGGUAAUGGCCCACCAAGACUAUUACAGGUACGGGCUCUGAGAGGAGUGGCCCGGAGAUGGGUACUGAGACACGGACCCAGGCCCUAUGGGGCGCAGCAGGCGAGAAAACUUUGCAAUGUGCGAAAGCACGACAAGGUUAAUCCGAGUGGUUUCUGCUAAAGAAACCUUUUGUUAGUCCUAGAAACACUGACGAAUAAGGGGUGGGCAAGUUCUGGUGUCAGCCGCCGCGGUAAAACCAGCACCUCAAGUGGUCAGGAUGAUUAUUGGGCCUAAAGCAUCCGUAGCUUGCUUUGUAAGUUCUCGGUUAAAUCCAUGCGCUUAACGUAUGGGCUGCCGGUAAUACUGCAAAGCUAGGGAGUGGGAGAGGUAGACGGUACUCGGUAGGAAGGGGUAAAAUCCUUUGAUCUAUUGAUGACCACCUGUGGCGAAGGCGGUCUACCAGAACACGUCCGACGGUGAGGGAUGAAAGCUGGGGGAGCAAACCGGAUUAGAUACCCGGGUAGUCCCAGCUGUAAACUAUGCAAACUCAGUGAUGCAUUGGCUUGUGGCCAAUGCAGUGCUGCAGGGAAGCCGUUAAGUUUGCCGCCUGGGAAGUACGUACGCAAGUAUGAAACUUAAAGGAAUUGGCGGGAAGGGCGAAUU
rnacentral:rRNA from 1 species